rnacentral:tRNA from 1 species
GGAGAGAUGGCUCAGAGGUUAAGAGCACUGACUGUUCUUCCAGAGGUCCUGAGUUCAAAUCCCAGCAACCACA